CUGUGCUGGAACAUGUCUUGACUUGUACCGGCUUGCCUGGAGAGAGUGUGCGAGGCUUGUGGUCACCCGCCUGGACAGCUGGGUGCCUCUCACUGGCCCCCUCCCUCAGACAGCAGGCACAACACUGAGGGACACAGAGAGCGACCUAGUGAGGUGGACAGAAGAGAACUGGACCAGGUACCGACCCAGAGAGCCCAGAGGCUCAUCUCUGCCGGGCUGGUGGAAGUUCUUCCUGUACUCCAAGUCUCCCCCCCUCCCCCCAUCCUAAAUCUCUUGCAAGUAAUGCUUUGAUCAUAGAGGGACCAUGGAGCCACUGACCACAAUCAGGUCUGUCUGACUCUCCUGGGAGAUUGCUGUGGGCUUGGUGGUGGACUGGAGUCCUCAGGACGGUUUAAGUGAACUGAGAACAAGCGUCCUCUGAUCCCACACACAGUCAAAAAGGCAAGUGUUAUCACAUACACCAUAUGCCACCCAGUAAAAUGGAGGAAAGUCAACAUGUUUGUCCUCAAUGUCUACAUAACAUGAGAUAUGACGGACACUUAUCAGGGAACAGAGCUGAACAACCCUUCAAUAAGCAUGUGGGUAAAAAGCAUGGAGAGUUUGGGAUUACUCUCGGUUGUUUCCCCAUUUGCGCUAUUCUGUCUCCUGCCCACCACAAGCACGUGGGCCCAACUCAGCGGGGAGGCCCAAGCAGAGGACAGACGUGAGGAUGAGGAUGAGGAUGAGGACAGACAGGAAGGACGGCGCCCACCGGCUGCUGUGAGUGUUUCUCUGGCAGUGUCUUAGCUGGUUGUUGUGAGGAGUGAGAACGAAGCAAUCAGCAAGUAUACUGCCGCAGAAACUCUUUACAUUGAGAGCCCCUCUCAUCCCACCCACCCCCCUCGUCCCCCCCUGAACACCACUCCAUCUACGGCUCCUCCACUGCUGCCUGGGCAGCAUGUCUCUCAGCUCCCCCGUCCACCCCCAUCACUCUGCCACAGCCAGGGAGGAAGAAGAGUGUGGUAUGGUAUGUAUCUCCUGCUUUCGACAGUAACUCCAUUUGAAACAAACAAAAAGUGACGUUGUUAAUGAAUUAUUACUGUAAACACAGGCUGAUUGCAGUAACGAUAAAAUAAAGCAAGCACCACCAUCUGUUUUCUUAGUAAAUGUAGCAUGGUUGUUGUUUUUUUUCUAAAUGUGUCGAUCAGUAAACAUGUUGUGGAAGAUGAUAAGAUCUUCUCUCAGUUUCCCAUACAACUGUCUGCUUUUGUUGUUUUGCUAAACGACAGUUACCAUUGGCAGCACCGUCUGACCUUUAAGGCCCUCAGUAGGAGAAGACACACUUGCGGUGUAGCGAGACACAAACAUCAUUAGUGCAAUUACGUAUGUCCUGUGGCUCUGUAUGAUCACAUGCUGAUUGGUGGCACAUUUUUGUAUUUCAAAUAAAAAAGCAAACGUUUCA